rnacentral:rRNA from 1 species
GACAGAGGUGCCAAGCGUUAGGCGGAAUCACUGGGCUUAAAGCGUGUGUAGGCGGAUCGUUAAGUACCUUGUGAAAUCCCACGGCUCAACCGUGGAACUGCUGGGUAUACUGGCGAUCUUGAGCCACCUAGGGGCGAGCGGAACAAGCGGUGGAGCGGUGAAAUGCGUAGAUAUCGCUUGGAACGCCAAUGGUGAAAACAGCUCACUGGGGGUGUGCUGACGCUGAGACACGAAAGCCAGGGGAGCGAACGGG